rnacentral:lncRNA from 10 species
CAGCAUGUCAGGACUCACUUAGACCUACUGAACAGCUGGCAUCAAGACUUUUAUAUUGGAGGAGCCAAGAUGGCCGAAUAGGAACAGCUCCGGUCUACAGCUCCCAGCGUGAGCGACGCAGAAGAGGGUGAUUUCUGCAUUUCCAUCUGAGUUGUUUUUCAGAAACCCCAAUUCCCACCAACUUCAGAUCUCCAUUCCUACCAACUUCAGCUCUGCUGGUAUGUGGACAUCAGAGAAGGGGGAACUGGAAACUGAACUCUGACCAUAUCAUUCUGUGUUCUAAAUGUCUUCCUGAGGGGCCUGGAGGAAGUUACACUCACAAGCCAGAGCUAACAUUCUUUUCUGCUGACCCCAAAUUUUAAAAUAAAGCUUCUCUUCCUUAACCAA